UACGUAGGGGCAAGCGUUGUCCGGAAUCAUUGGGCGUAAAGAGCGCGUAGGCGGCCCUGUAAGUCCGCUGUGAAAGUCAAGGGCUCAACCCUUGAAUGCCGGUGGAUACUGCAGGGCUAGAGUCCGGAAGAGGCGAGUGGAAUUCCUGGUGUAGCGGUGAAAUGCGCAGAUAUCAGGAGGAACACCGAUGGCGAAGGCAGCUCGCUGGGACGGUACUGACGCUGAGGCGCGAAAGCGUGGGUAGCAAACAGG
rnacentral:rRNA from 1 species